rnacentral:rRNA from 1 species
UACAGAGGGUGCAAGCGUUGCUCGGAAUCAUUGGGCGUAAAGGGCAGGUAGGUGGUCUCAUUUGUCUGGGGUGAAAGCCUUGAGCUUAACUCAAGAAGUGCCCCGGAAACGGUGAGACUGGAGUCCUGGAGAGGGUCGUGGAAUUCCCGGUGUAGCGGUGAAAUGCGUAGAGAUCGGGAGGAACACCAGCGGCGAAGGCGGCGACCUGGACAGGUACUGACGCUGAGGCGCGACAGCGUGGGGAGCAAACAGG